CUGAGCCAAGUGGGAGACAGCCUUUCCUAAGGUUGAGAGAGACCAGCAGACAGCCAUCAUGGCGGGGAAGCCCAUUCUUCACUAUUUCAAUGGCCGAGGCAGAAUGGAGUGUAUCCGGUGGCUCCUGGCUGCAGCUGGAGUGGAGAGAAUGAACAUUUAAAAUAAAUUUAAGGAGUUCCCAUCGUGGCUCAGUGGUUAACGAAUCCGACUAGGAACCAUGAGGUUGCAGUUCAAUCCCUGGCCCCAAUCAGUGGGUUAAGAAUCCGUGAGCUGUGGUGUAGGUUGCAGACAGAGCUGAGAUCCCUCAUUGCUGUGGCUCUCUCUGGUGCAGGCCUGCAGCUACACGUUCUGGCUUGACCCCUAGCCUGGGAACCUCUAUGUGCCGUGGGUGCAGCCCUAGAAAAAGCAAGAAGACAAACAUAAAUCAAUAAAUAAAAUAAAAUAAAAAUAAAUUUAAGAAACUAAUCACAUUGUGUAGGCCUAAUUUGAUUUUGAUUUUUUUAACUGUACAACAUUACUGAUGACAUUGAUACCACAAUAAGAAACAUGAAC
rnacentral:lncRNA from 1 species